UACGUAGGUGGCAAGCGUUGUCCGGAUUUAUUGGGUUUAAAGGGUGCGUAGGCGGUCUUAUAAGUCAGUGCUGAAAUAUCCCAGCUUAACUGGGAGGGUGGCAUUGAUACUGUAGGACUUGAGUAAAGUUGAGGUUGGCGGAAUUGACGGUGUAGCGGUGAAAUGCUUAGAUAUCGUCAAGAACACCUAUUGCGAAGGCAGCUAACUAAGCUUUAACUGACGCUGAGGCACGAAAGUGUGGGGAUCAAACAGG
rnacentral:rRNA from 1 species